ACACAUGCAAGUCGAGCGGAAACGAUGAUAGCUUGCUAUCAGGCGUCGAGCGGCGGACGGGUGGGUAAUACUUAGGAAUCUACCUAGUAGUGGGGGAUAGCUCGGGGAAACUCGAAUUAAUACCGCAUACGACCUACGGGAGAAAGGGGGCAGUUUACUGCUCUCGCUAUUAGAUGAGCCUAAGUCGGAUUAGCUAGAUGGUGGGGUAAAGGCCUACCAUGGCGACGAUCUGUAGCUGGUCUGAGAGGAUGAUCAGCCACACCGGGACUGAGACACGGCCCGGACUCCUACGGGAGGCAGCAGUGGGGAAUAUUGGACAAUGGGGGCAACCCUGAUCCAGCCAUGCCGCGUGUGUGAAGAAGGCCUUUUGGUUGUAAAGCACUUUAAGCAGUGAAGAAGACUCCAUGGUUAAUACCCAUGGACGAUGACAUUAGCUGCAGAAUAAGCACCGGCUAACUCUGUGCCAGCAGCCGCGGUAAUACAGAGGGUGCAAGCGUUAAUCGGAAUUACUGGGCGUAAAGCGAGCGUAGGUGGCUUGAUAAGUCAGAUGUGAAAUCCCCGGGCUUAACCUGGGAACUGCAUCUGAUACUGUUAGGCUAGAAUAGGUGAGAGGAAGGUAGAAUUCCAGGUGUAGCGGUGAAAUGCGUAGAGAUCUGGAGGAAUACCGAUGGCGAAGGCAGCCUUCUGGCAUCAUAUUGACACUGAGGUUCGAAAGCGUGGGUAGCAAACAGGAUUAGAUACCCUGGUAGUCCACGCCGUAAACGAUGUCUACUAGUCGUUGGGUCCCUUGAGGACUUAGUGACGCAGCUAACGCAAUAAGUAGACCGCCUGGGGAGUACGGCCGCAAGGUUAAACUCAAUGAAUUGACGGGGGCCCCGCACAGCGGUGGGAGCAUGUGUUUAAUCGAUGCAACCCGAAAACCUUACCUGGUCUUGACAUUUCUAGAAUCCUUGCAAGAUGCGGGAGUGCCUUCGGAAUAAAAAACCGGUGCUGCAUGCUGCCUCAGCUUGUUCGGAAUGUGGUUAAGUCCCGCCACGGGCCAACCCUUUGCCUUAUCCACGGUUAGCCGGACCUUAAGGAAUCUCCAUGACCACCUUAAAAAAG
rnacentral:rRNA from 1 species